rnacentral:lncRNA from 1 species
GGGAGUUUUUUUUACAUGUCACGCCGUAUCUCAAAAACGAUUGAUGAUUAUUGCUAAAAAAUUUACACACUUUUUUUAUAUUAAUCUAAAGAUCUGUAUACUUUUUGGUUUUGAUUCAAAAUUUUAUUUUAGAGAGAUUGAGUUAUUCUUUUUUAAAAAGGGGGAGGGCUACAUGUCGCCGUAUCUUAAAAAAAAACAAUUUAUGAUUAUUGCCUAAAACUUGACACACUUCUUUGUUAUAUUAAUCUAAAGAACUGUAUACUUUUAGGUUUUUGGUUAAAAUUUUAUUUAAGAGUUGUUGAGUUUUUGUUAUAAAAGGGUUUUUUUCACAUGUCGCGCUGUAUCUCAGAAACUAUUGAUGAUUAUUGCAUAAACUUACACACAAGACGACGGGCGUAUCAUGCGCUUAUGGUGCAGCUGUUUAUUAUAUAAUUAUUUAGUUUAAAGAUGGUCACGAUGAUAUAUUUAUUACUAGCGGUACGACGAGUAAUACUCUAAAAUGGUCUUACAUUUCGAUGAUUUUAUUAC